AAGUCGUAACAAGGUUUCCGUAGGUGAACCUGCGGAAGGAUCAUUAUAGUAUACCUAUAGUUGGGAUGUAGGGUGUUUAUUAGAGCGUAGACGUAAAACUCUAUUGCUUGAGUAGACAUCCUCCCCGCCAAACCUUGUAAAUAUAAACUUAAUUGUUACCUUGGUAGGAUUACCUGCCUGUGGACAACUAUAAACUCUUUUAAAAAUUGGCUGAAACUAUUGUAACUGUCUGAAAUAUUGUUAAUAUUAAAACUUUCAACAACGGAUCUCUUGGUUCUG
rnacentral:misc_RNA from 1 species